rnacentral:rRNA from 1 species
UACGGAGGAUGCAAGCGUUAUCCGGAAUGAUUGGGCGUAAAGCGUCCGCAGGUGGCUGUGUAAGUCUGCUGUUAAAUAGUGAGGCUCAACCUCAUAAAGGCAGUGGAAACUACACGGCUAGAGUGCGUUCGGGGCAGAGGGAAUUCCUGGUGUAGCGGUGAAAUGCGUAGAGAUCAGGAAGAACACCGGUGGCGAAAGCGGCAUCCUGGACCGAGAUUGACGCUGAGGCGCGAAAGCCAGGGGAGCAAACGGG